rnacentral:rRNA from 1 species
UGGGGAAUCGUGCACAAUGGGGGAAACCCUGAUGCAGCGACGCCGCGUGAGCGAUGAAGCCCUUCGGGGUGUAAAGCUCUUUCGACCCGGAAGAUAAUGACGGUACGGGGAGAAGAAGCUGCGGCUAACUACGUGCCAGCAGCCGCGGUAAUACGUAGGCAGCGAGCGUUGUUCGGAGUUACUGGGCGUAAAGGGUGCGUAGGCGGUGGACCAAGUCUGGUGUGAAAUCUCCCGGCUCAACCGGGAGGGUGCGCCGGAAACUGGUUUGCUUGGAGUACCGGAGAGGCAGGCGGAAUUCCUGGUGUAGCGGUGAAAUGCGUAGAUAUCAGGAGGAACACCGGUGGUGCAGACGGUCUGCUGGACGGUAACUGACGCUGAGGCACGAAAGCGUGGGUAGCAAACAGGAUUAGAUACCCUGGUAGUCCACGCCCUAAACGAUGCGCACUUGGUGUGGGCAGUUCAGUCUGUCCGUGCCGAAGCUAACGCGAUAAGUGCGCCGCCUGGGGAGUACGGCC